UACGAAGGGGGAGCUAGCGUUGCUCGGAAUCACUGGGCGUAAAGGGUGCGUAGGCGGGUCUUUAAGUCAGGGGUGAAAUCCUGGAGCUCAACUCCAGAACUGCCUUUGAUACUGAGGAUCUUGAGUUCGGGAGAGGUGAGUGGAACUGCGAGUGUAGAGGUGAAAUUCGUAGAUAUUCGCAAGAACACCAGUGGCGAAGGCGGCUCACUGGCCCGAUACUGACGCUGAGGAGCGAAAGCGUGGGGAGCGAACAGGA
rnacentral:rRNA from 1 species